UCCACAUGGAUCCCUUUGCCUGCCAC
rnacentral:piRNA from 1 species